rnacentral:tRNA from 1 species
GAUUGUGGCUCAGUGGUAGAAUGCUUGCUUGGCAUGCAUGAGGUACUGGGUUUGAUCCUCAGGAGCA